UACGUAGGGUGCAAGCGUUGUCCGGAUUUAUUGGGCGUAAAGAGCUCGUAGGCGGUUUGUCGCGUCGGAUGUGAAAACCCAGGGCUCAACCCUGGGCCUGCAUUCGAUACGGGCAAACUAGAGUAUGGCAGGGGGAGACUGGAAUUCCUGGUGUAGCGGUGAAAUGCGCAGAUAUCAGGGAGGAACACCGGUGGCGAAGGCGGGUCUCUGGGCCAAAAACUGGACGCUGGAGGCGCGACAGCGUGGGGAGCAAACAGG
rnacentral:rRNA from 1 species